GUCAUCAUCUUAGUACAGAGAUCACCUCAUCUGAGCAGCCUUCGACCACACAGAUGGACCAAACAAGAUCUGUUACUAAUGAACUUCCAAAUGAGACACUUUUGUCCACCACUGCCACUGUGACCCAAAACAAAAUUACCAUUACUGAAAGAGACUCAACCAGUACAGUGUUUACCUUAUCUGCACAGUUUUCAACCUCAGAACUGGAUCAGACUACAUCCAUUCCUGUGACCCUAAAUAAACAAACCGCCACUGAGAUAGAAACAACUACUGGUCAUGUCAGUACCGUGUUUGCCUCAUCUGAGCAGCUUUCAACCAAAGAACUGCAUCAAACAACAUCCA